rnacentral:rRNA from 1 species
AAAGAUUUAUCGCCAUUGGAGCGGCCCGCGUCUGAUUAGCUAGUUGGUGAGGUAAAGGCUCACCAAGGCGACGAUCAGUAGCUGGUCUGAGAGGAUGAUCAGCCACACUGGGACUGAGACACGGCCCAGACUCCUACGGGAGGCAGCAGUGGGGAAUCUUGCGCAAUGGGCGAAAGCCUGACGCAGCCAUGCCGCGUGAAUGAUGAAGGUCUUAGGAUUGUAAAAUUCUUUCAGCAGGGACGAUAAUGACGGUACCUGCAGAAGAAGCCCCGGCUAACUUCGUGCCAGCAGCCGCGGUAAUACGAAGGGGGCUAGCGUUGCUCGGAAUUACUGGGCGUAAAGGGCGCGUAGGCGGGUCGUUUAGUUAGAGGUGAAAGCCCAGGGCUCAACCCUGGAAUUGCCUUUAAUACUGGCGGCCUUGAGUAUGGCAGAGGUGUGUGGAACUCCGAGUGUAGAGGUGAAAUUCGUAGAUAUUCGGAAGAACACCAGUGGCGAAGGCGACAC